UUACUGCCGCCCCGUCCGACUCCCUGUCGAUAUGCCUGGCCAACAUUGGUUCGGGAACGCCGUUCAUAUCUUUGCUGGAGUUGAGGCAUAUCGACAACCACCUGGCGUACCAGGACGCGAAUCAAUCCGCUGCACUACUCUUCUACAGUCGCUACAACUUGGGAUCCCUCACCAACGACACCGUCAGGUAUCCAGAAGAUAAAUAUGAUAGGACAUGGGAUCCUUGCAACAGUUAUAUUAUUGGUGGUGAAACAUGGAAUUUUACAAGCAGUACUUUGGGAAUCAAGACCACUCGUGGUGAUGCUUAUGAGGUCCCAGGCAUGGUCAUGGGGACUGCAACUGUUGCUGCAGAUAAUUUUACAUUGCAAUAUUUCUUGGGCUAUGGCCUCAAUUCGAGUGUUCAAACAACAUUCUAUAUCUAUUUGCACUUUGCUGAUUUCGACUAUUUAAGUGGGAAUGGAAGUAGAAUUUUUCAGGUGAGAGCAGACGGGGAACCCGAUAGUGAUAACAUCAGUCCUGCAUAUCUACUGGCAACUCAUGUCCAUUUCGUCCAUCGGCUGGCGUACCCAGGCUUAAAUGGUUAUUUUAAUCUGACAAGGGUGGCCGGCUCCACCCUUCCCCCCAUCCUCAAUGCUGCUGAGGUUUACAUUCCUAUUAAUCUUUCAGUUUUGGCAACAGAUCCAGCCGAUGUUGAUGCAAUGAUGGGGAUAAAGAAAUUAUAUCAGAUGAAGAUAUGGCAGGGUGAUCCUUGUGCUCCGCAGCAAUUCAUUUGGAGUGGAGUAAAUUGCACCUACUCAAGCUCUGGUACCCCAAGAGUCACUUCAUUAAACCUCUCUUAUCAUGGGUUGAAUGGUGCUAUACCAAAUGCUUUGGCUAAUCUGAAGGCCCUUAACUAUUUGGACUUGUCAAACAAUGAUUUAACAGGCCCAAUACCGCCCUCUUUAGAAGAAUUGACAUCACUCAAUGUGCUAAUUUUGUCAAAUAACCGACUCAAUGGGCCUAUUCCAGCUUCUUUGUGUGAUGGACAAUCAAAAGGAUUGCUUGAGUUGAGAGUGGACAACAAUCCGGAUAUAUGUCUCUGUCAUAGUACAUGUCAAAUUGGUAGCAAAGGAAGGAAGCUUGCUACAUUCACCAUUGUGCUGAUCGCUGUCGUCCCAGCGCUGAUUAUACUGCUGCUCCUAUCAUUGCUUUUAUUCUUCUUGAGGAGAAGAAAAUCUACAACAAAAUUAUCACCGCCAAUUCAAGACGCGCUUGCUAUACCCGAAACCCAUAGAUUUACAUAUGAUGAAUUGAAGGCCAUCACCAACAAUUUUGAUCUUGUACUUGGAAAGGGGGGGUUUGGGAAUGUUUACCAUGGUCGAUUGCAUGAUGGCACUGAAGCUGCAGUAAAACUUUUGCACUCACAUCGGAUGGUCAAAGGGACAUCAUCUGAGGAGUCCAUGUCUGCAAAUUCUGGCUCCAGAUCACAUGGGCUGAAAGAGUUUCAAGCCGAGGCUCUUCUCUUAUCGAGGGUUCAUCACAGGAACUUAGUGUCUUUGAUCGGGUACUGUAGAGACAGCAAUCAACUUGGACUUGUUUAUGAAUAUGCUGCUCGUGGAAGUCUUAGAGAUCAUCUUUCAGAUAAAACUGGAAAUAGCCAAACAUUGAGUUGGAGAGAACGAAUUCGGAUAGCAGUGGAAGCCGCACAAGGUCUGGAGUAUCUACACAAGGGAUGUGUGCCACCUAUAAUCCAUAGAGAUGUAAAGACUAACAAUAUCCUCUUAACAUAUGACUUUGAGGCAAAGGUAGCAGAUUUUGAGCUGUCAAAGCCUUUCCUGACAGAUGCCCAGACUCACGUAUCUACUGAUGUUGUGGCUGGCACUCCAGGAUACAUAGAUCCCGAAUUUCUUUCUUAGCUAACUUUACAAGAGGAGAGGAGAAUCACGAACAAUUGUUGGACCUUUCUGGUACUCUGCUACCUUCCAGCUGACUGAAAAAAGUGAUGUAUAUUAGUUGUUCUGGAACUGGUUACAGGCCUAUCAGCUGUGUUGGAGCAACAAAAAAAGGUGUCACUUGUCGAAUGGAUACGAUCUGUUAGGAUCGAAUCUAUACUAAA